rnacentral:rRNA from 1 species
GACGUAGGGCGCGAGCGUUGUCCGGAUUUAUUGGGCGUAAAGAGCUCGUAGGCGGCUUGUCGCGUCGUUCGUGAAAACCCACAGCUCAACUGUGGGCUUGCGGUCGAUACGGGCAGGCUGGAGUUCGGUAGGGGAGACUGGAAUUCCUGGUGUAGCGGUGAAAUGCGCAGAUAUCAGGAGGAACACCGGUGGCGAAGGCGGGUUUCUGGGCCGAUACUGACGCUGAGAAGCGAAAGCAUGGGGAGCGAACAGG